ACAAAAGCAAACAGCAUGAUUCAAAGAGAAAUAAGACAUUGGAGGCUUUCCCAGCAGCCUUCAAGCCCCUCCGAGCCAUGGGGAAAGGCAAUAGGGCCGUCGGGCCAUGUUAAAAUUCGGAGCGCUGCGUCGGGCUUGGAGCAGGCGCCGGUGCGGAGCGGGGCGGGCCGGCGGCGGGUCCCCGCGGCCAAGGCACCCGCAGCCGCGCAGAGCGGCCGCGGCAGCCGGGCCAUGGGCAGCCAGGGGGGCGGCCCGCGGGCCACCGAACCGGGACAGCAGCUCCGCGCCCUCUUCUACGCGCUGCCGCCCGGCGAGAGCUCCUUCCACACGGUGGAGGAGGUGCCCGACUACGUGGAGAAGAGUAUUCCAUUCUUCAUUGCUUUUAUUGGGCUGGAGUUUGUUGUCAGCUGGUUUCAGAAGCGUAAACUGUCAGGUCGGAUCAAUGAUGGUAUAAGUUCUCUUUCUUUAGGUAUCCUGUCUCGACUGCCAGAUGUUUUAUUCAGAAGUGUUGACUUAAUUAGUUAUAUCUACAUAUGGAAUAACUACAGACUCUUUGAACUGCCCUGGGACUCACCAUGGACAUGGUAUUUGACACUCGUGGGAGUGGACUUUGCAUACUACUGCUUUCAUCGCAUAAGCCAUGAGGUUAAUAUACUGUGGGCAGCGCACCAAGUACAUCAUAGUUCUGAAGAUUACAACUUAUUCACAGCCUUGAGACAAUCUGUACUGCAGAAAUACACCUCCUGGAUUUUCAACUUGCCCAUGGCUCUUUUCAUUCCCCCUUCAGUGUUUGCUGUUCAUCUACAGUUUAAUCUACUUUACCAGUUUUGGAUACAUACAGAGGUUAUCAACAAACUUGGACCUCUGGAGUGGAUUCUUAAUACUCCCAGUCAUCACAGAGUUCAUCAUGGUAGAAAUCCUUACUGCAUUGAUAAAAAUUAUGGCGGCACACUAAUUAUCUGGGACAGGAUAUUUGGAACAUUUGAAGCAGAAGAUGCAAAAGUUGUAUAUGGCUUAACACAUCCAGUAAAUUCAUUUGAUCCCAUCAUGCUCCAGUUACGUCCCUUAGCCCAUAUUUGGAACACAUUUUGGGCCACACCUGGAUUCUGCAAUAAGCUUUCUGUCAUUUUCAAAGGGCCAGGCUGGGGACCAGGCAAACCUAGACUUGGCCUUCCUGAGGAAAUCCCAGUGAUCACUGGAAAAGAAGUUCUCUUCAAUCCGCAUGUACCAGCUUACCUUAAUUGCUAUGCAGUUGUACAUUUUGUCAUAAUAGUGGACUUGUAUACUGAACUUCUUGGUACUGUGACUAUGUUAUCACAGGGAACUAUUCUCCUGAGAAUUGGCUUUAUCAUUCUGUCCUUGACCUCUUUUGGACUACUUAUGGAGAACAGAAAGGAAUACCUUCCACUUGUGUUGAUUGAACAAUUUAUUUCAGGGCCCAAAGCAAGAAUUUUGGAAAUCAUCCGCUGCUUAGUUUUCAUAGGUGUGUACAAACUUGGCCACUUACGGAGUCAGUUUUCUUCCUUGGGCUAUGCAUAUGAGGUAGACUGUGUUUAACCAGCUUCAGUGAAUCUGGACUGAGAUGUGUCAUCAUGGAAGUUAUCCCUACAAAUGUCUUGUUUUCUCUCUGUGCUGCAUUCUGGGUAAUCCAACUUACGAAGCGAAUCACUUCAUCUGAAGAUAAACUUCACUGAAAAAGCAGAUCUAACAUCAAUUGAAUUAUGGAAACAGCACUUUGGAAUAACCUUCUAAUUUCCUUGGAAUUAGUCAACCAUGAACCUUACAGAAUCAAAAUCACUUAUCAUAGAAUUGUAUAAAGCUCUGAAAGAUUCAUUAGGAUGUGUAUUCAUUUUUAUUUGAUUUUUAAGAGGUAUUUAAUUUCCCUCCAAUUUAAAUAAAAUGUUAGUUUAUCACGUUUUUCCAUUCAAUGGAUUACAAAGUCUUCAAAAUAAUGUAAAACUAAUCAUAUUUUGCAGUGAUUUUGUUAGUAACUCUAUGUGAAAAGUAGUUUUCACAAUAGGAAUAAUUAAUAUCAUAUUUGUUGUAACCUGGUAUAAAGUGACUGACUGACUUCCUAUUGAGGCUAAACAUAAACAUAUGUGAAUGUCAGGUUUUCCAUAAUGGUUGAAUUACACUAGAAUCUCAAUGUCAUGCCCAAUUCAAGGCAUACAUACAGCUACAUGAGUAGUCGAGGCAAGGAAAUUAUUAAAAGCAGCAUGAUAAAAUAACUUGAACUAGUAUGAGUUGAAACAUCUUCAACAAAGUUGGCUGAUGUAUGUGUUGUAUAAUGCAGGUUUGCAGUUUAGUUUGAAGUAUUUAAGGAGUACACCUGCGGCUGCCAACUUUAGAUGCUGAUCAAGCCAGCAUUUACACAUGGGUAUUCCACUGACUGUUACUCAUGUGACAAAAUAUUUGCAAGGCUGGGUCCUUAAUUUCUGGUAAUUUCUCGCUGGGGUGACCUCAGGAGAGAUGCAUGUCUUGUCUUUCAGGAGCUGUUGGAAAGAUGUUUUGUAUUAAGAUAGGAAAAUUAAAUACAAACGGUAAAGGGAGUCUCCAAACAGCGGGACUGGCAAAAAUACUGGAGCUAGGUUGUUUUUCUUUCCUCACACUCUUCCAACUUUUUAUUUGGCUCCAAGACUUUUAGAAGUGCUUAAAGUCAAGUAGCUAAAAAAUGUAGGCUGUCUUGCAUGCUUCAAACUAGUAAUAAUAACUGGAUUAAAAACGGAUUUAAUUUUGGGUUGGGUUUUGUUCCCAUUCCAUUUUACUUUAGGAUGCUGAUGACAUGCUAACAGACAUCUCAGAUUUAGACAGAGCGUACUUUUAAUUAACCCAUAUUUUCAGUCUCUGGCUGUAACAGAUACCACUGUCUACAUAAUUGGAUGUUUUCAAUAAAUUGACAGAAACACAGUAAUGUUAUAUAAAUAAAACUGAUCCAAUGCCCAUUGAUAGUACUGGCUCAAUUUAAAAUAUUUUUUUACUUUAAAACCCAAGUUUUAAGUUAGUCCAUUUGUGUAUCAGAUGCCUUGUGCCUAUCACUUUAGAUUAUGCUCAAAGACCUUGAAAUAUUUGACUGAAAAAGCAGAUGUUAGUUUGAUUAGAGGUAGUAAUACCUGGAAUGCAAAGUAAGGAUAAUACCUUCCUAAACUGAAGCUGUGUUUAAACAGAGGACUUGUGGAUCUUCUUCACUUUACAUAAUAAGAAUAUUAAAAAAACUGACCCAAGAAAAACCUGAAAGAAAUCAGAUUUAAAAUACUUAUUGAGAAGUUUAAUUAAAACUUUUAUUCAUAACAAGGUAGGCUUCCAAAGUCUUUUUAAGAAAUGUAUAAAUACAAUUAUAUACCUCUGAGUUCAAGAGUGGAAACAUCAUCUCUUGACUAACACUCUGAUUUGACAGCCAGAAGCUUUCUCUGGUACUAUCAGUUCUGACCAAAAUUUACCGUGUCUUUGCCUGAAUUUCCGUGUCUGUGGAAUGGGGCUGAUGGCAAUACUGAUGGUUUCUCUCACCCUAAUGAAAGUAUUGCGUUUGGGAUCUUUUUCUUACAGCACUAUUGUAAGAUAUUUAAGAAAAUUACAGGAUCUGAUUCCAGAAGAACAGCACAAUCUACAAACUUCUUAUGUGACCCCAUAAGUUAGUGUAUGUGUAUUUUCAAAAUUUGUAAUAGUGACAUCAACCUCACAGGAAUAUUUUGAGGUCAGUUUAAUGUAAUGACUAUGUAAUAUGAUGAAGAGUCAUAUUGAAGGUCACUUUCCUUAUCAAAAUGAAUCCUCUGAAGAGACAGGAAUAGGAUAAAGAUUUAAUAUUUUCUGCAUUUAAAAAACUGCAGUCUUGGAAGGACAAUAAUGAAGAUCUGAAUUAAAUUAAAUUAAAUUAAUUUCAAAGAUA